rnacentral:rRNA from 1 species
CCGCCGGCGACCGGCGCACGGGUGAGUAACGCGUAUGCAACCUGCCCGUUUCAGCGGGAUAACCCGGAGAAAUCCGGCCUAAUACCGCAUGUGGCCGAGGGGAGGCAUCUUCUUUCGGCCAAAGGAGGCGACUCCGGAGACGGAUGGGCAUGCGUGACAUUAGCUAGUUGGCGGGGUAACGGCCCACCAAGGCGACGAUGUCUAGGGGUUCUGAGAGGAAGGUCCCCCACACUGGUACUGAGACACGGACCAGACCCCUACGGAAGGCAGCAG